UAUAGCUCAGUGGUAGAGUGCUUGCCUAGCAUGUACAAGGCCCUGGGUUUAAUUCCCAGUA
rnacentral:tRNA from 1 species